ensembl:lncRNA
CAAGAACGUGUGUGUGUGUGUAUGCAUGUGAGAAUGUGUGUGUACGGGUUCGUACUAUCCUGGUGGGGACCAAAAUCUGACAUUUACUAUACUGGUGGGGACUUUCUGCACCGUGGGGACCAAAAUCCAGGUCCCCUCGGGGUUGAAAGCAAUUUUCACACUGAAAAUGGGGUUUUAGUGUCAGGGUUACAAUUAGGUUAUGGUUAGGUUUAGGGUAAGGGUUAGGGUUAGGCAUUCAUUUUUAAUGGUUAGGGUUAGGGUAAGGGGCUAGGGAAACCAUUAUGUCAAUGGGAUGUCCCCACCAGGAUAGCAAACCAGACAUGUGUGUGUGUGUGUGUGUGUGUGUGUGCGUCCGUAAAAAAGAUUUGUGUGUGGACUUAGCCAAAAACCCCAUGCAAGUUACAAGUACGAAUUUUGACCCUAUUUUUCUUCCUUUUAGCUGAUUGGUUAAUGUCAUGUCAAUCACAAAUUAAACAGUCCAAUCAGAGAACAGAUGGGUUUGGCUAUCUAUCUAGAUAGAUAGAUCAGUCUAUAUAUAUUUAAACACUGAUCUUUUUUUUUUCUUUUGCACCACUUUGGGUAAAGUGAAGUGGAUGACCUGCAUCACACAGCACAUGAAGUCAGAGACACACUUCCCAAUUUUGCUGCUGAGAUGAACACUGACAUCCCAGCCAACAAUAAGGAAGGUACUUUUCAUACCAAAUGUCAGAGUUAUUUUUGCAUACAAUGUACUUUAUCUUUUAGUAGAACAGUGGGGAAAGGCUAGUGAUCCGCAAGAUGCUGCAGUUUUGUUUAAAAGGCAUCUCUUAAAGGAAAAGGAGGAGAACCCCAUAAUCACAGCUAUCAUUGGCAUUCGACAAGAUCAAACAUCCCAGAGCCGAGAGAUCAUUGCUUUCUACAAAAGACCACAGAUUGAUUGGGCAGGACCUUUUCAUUGUUCUUUACAAGGUAAUGCUUAUGUUGAUGCAUAGAUUCAGUUAGUUUUCAGUUAGUUUCUUUAAAGAAACUAACUGAAAUGUUAACUCAUUUACCAAGUUAACAUUCCAACUUGGUAAAUGAGAAUUUUCCAUUAAAGGGUGCUGUAAAGCAGUUUGUAACUUUACUUGUGUUGUUGUUGUUUUUUCUUUUUCCCAAUUUUAAAAUAGGUGACAUAGCUGUUGGCACUGGGGUCCAGAGCAAGGUUAUUAUCGUUAACUAAAACUAACGAAAUAACGAAAACUAGAAGUGAAAAAACAUUUUCGUUAACGGAAAUAAAAAUAAAAACGAAAAAAGGAAAACUAACUAAAACUGUAAUGAGUGUUCACAAAACUAACUAAAAUUAACUGAAUUUAUAGCAAAAAUAUGUUUAGUUUUUGUUUAUGUGUGCGUGUCAUACAAUAGUCAAGGGUGAAAAAGAAGUUUAGUUUCCAGGUUUUUUUCUUGCUGUGUCUCAUUAUGCCAGCAGGUGGCAGUACGUUAGUCGAGUCGUCUGUGUUGCUGCUCCGUCCACGCGCAGAAUCAUGUCAGGAAAAGUCUGGAAAAAGCGCCAGAGUCCAAUUUGGGAUUACUUUGAAUAUGUUUUGAAUAAAGCAAGUGUCUUGUAGAGGAACGAGACAAAUUAUGAGGGACAUUUCUAAAGGGAAAAAAAUCCCACAAACCUUAAAGUGCACUUGAAAAGCUCACACAAGAAGGCUAAGCUAGCUUACCUUGAGAAGGUAAGGGAGCACGCCCAACCCUCAUCCCCAGAAACAGAAGCUAACCCCAGGCAAGGCAGCGUGAUGCAUCCCGAGACAACAGGACUGGGAUAUCUACAUAACUGUGUGAGUCAAUUGCCUUCAAAAAGCUUAUCAAUUCACUUGAACCAAAAUUACGAACACCCGGUGCUGCAAGAGUUAAUAGUCUCGUUGUGGCCAAGAUAUACGUUUUAUAGUUGCCUGGUAUCAACGGUUGUUCAUCUCCCCUAAUUUAUUUAUUUAUUAAUUUAUUUAUUUAUUUAUUUGUUUAAAGAACCCAUAGGUGGGAAUGUGAGUUGUCUGUCUCUGCAUGUUAGCCCUGUGACAGACAGGCGACGUGUGCAGGGUGCAGGGUAUGGUAGCUGGAAUAGCAACAUACCCAAGGAUAAGCAGAAGAGAAUGCCUGAUAUAAUGAAACUGGGAUUUUGUUACACUUUAUUGCAAACACAACUAAAACUAUAACUGAAACUAAUCAAAACUAAACUGAAACUAAGGAUUUUCCAAAAAAUAAAAACUAAACUAAACUAGCAAACAAUUGGUAAAAACUAAUUAAAACUAAUAUAAAAUUGAAAAUCUGAAGUCAAAACGAAAUAAAAAUAAAAACUAAUGAAAAUUGCAAAACUAUUAAAACCCUCGUCCAGAGACAUUUUUUCUGCAUGGCAAUGCUAAAGUUGCAACAUGGCUUUAACACCCAUAGCGGUAUGCUUCUAUAUCCUUUUCUUAAUUAAUGUGAGAUGAGUUUUUAAACAAAUCCAUCGAAAAAUUUACUCCAGAAAUUAAAAAAAAAAAAGAUACCAUUGAAGUAUUUGCAUCAUGUUUGACAACUUCGUUAAUCAACUACUUAUGUCAAUAGUUAUUUUGCUUGUACUGUUCUUCUCCAGGUGCAGCCAACAUGACCCUUCUCUUUGAGGGACAACAGAACCAUCUAGUGCCUUCUACUUCUCAGAUUUUGGCAGACAGUGACUUUGUGGUAGCAGGCAGAAUGAUUGGGCAUUCAUUUUUGAACGAUGGGCCACGAUUGCAUGGCCUCAGCAAGGCUAUUAUUCACAUGUUGGUCCAUGCUGAUAGAGACACUGUCACUGUCCAGCUCGAUGAUGUGCCAGAUCUAGAUAUUCGUUCUACAAUUUACAGGCUUGACGGUAACAAACACCUCACUGAGCAGCAGAAGGAUGACAUUAACAAUUUGGCCAUUUCCUGGGACUUGCCACCCGUCAGUGCAGAAAACUGCAGAUGGCUGUUCCAACAGCUUCUCCAUCAUGCAGUGAUAGGCUGAACUAAAAGGCAGACAAAACACAUCAGAAAAGGUCUGAAGGACACCGGAUUGUUGACUAUGCUUCAACAAAGACCUGACACAGCCUCAGUGGUCUUUCCCCAGCAUGAAGACAGCAUUCUUACUGCACAGGCUGUUCUUAGCCACAUUGUUUGGCCAGGAGAUGAGGGCGAUGAUGAAGACGAUGAUGAUCCACCUUACCCACUAAGCAUCCAAAUGCAAACAGUGGGAUUUCUGAAGACCUACAUUGAAACAGCCACUCCAUUCCAGCUCAGCCAGCUGAUGAGGUUUUGGGUCGGGUGGGAAAUUCCGACUGGUACCAUGAAGGUUGAAGUGGUCAAAGCAGACUACCUCAUAUCCUGUACAUGUUUUGGAAUGUUGCGUGUCCCUGGGCACUUCCACGAGUACAAUGUCUUUUCCAAACAUGUUGAUGAUUGCAUUGCAACUUGUGCCACAGGUUUCGGCCUUAUUUAAAAGCAAUUUGUAGACACUGGAUGUCGAAUAAACUUUACCAUGCUUGAAAAAUGUUUUACAUAGCCAAAAGUUUCACUGUUUACGUAGGCUUAUUGAUUUUUUGGGAAUAUUGUUAUGCGAGUUUAAAUAUAAAAAUUAAAGUUACAGUUCCCACCAUUAACAUUUAUAUUUGAAGUUAAGGAACUAAUGAUUGUGUUAUUUAGGGUUGUUUUGUUAACUUGAAGUCAUUGUCAUGCAUCCGAUUCACAUCAUCUCUUUGUUUGAAGCAGUUUCAUGGAUUACAAGAGGUGUAAAAAAGUAGAUUAAUACUAAAGCUGUAUUAAAUGUUACACACAGUCCAAUGCUGUUGAAUAUAAUGUUAAUAAAAAUCUGCCACACUGUCAGCUGUGGUCAAGCUAUUUAAUUACCGCAUGCAGGACAG